rnacentral:lncRNA from 1 species
UUGAUUUUCCAGUAAUGUUCAUCACAGUGUAAAAUAAAUUAUCAAAAAUAUUUUUCUCAAUAUGCAUCACGUCUAAGCAAUGUCUUAUUAGAAGCAUACUCCAAUAAGGCAAUUCAAAGAAGAUACUUUUCUUUGUCCAGUUAUGCUCGAUUCCAAACCCAGGAGUCUUAUCGGUACUAUUGUUUUUAUCCUUUCCAAAGAUGACCGAACUAAAUUGAGAUACAAAAUUUAACUCCUCAACAC